CCUACGGGCGACUGCAGUGAGGAAUAUUGGUCAAUGGACGAGAGUCUGAACCAGCCAAGUAGCGUGAAGGAUGACUGCCCUAUGGGUUGUAAACUUCUUUUAUAUGGGAAUAAAACGUUCCACGUGUGGGAUUUUGUAUGUACCAUAUGAAUAAGGAUCGGCUAACUCCGUGCCAGCAGCCGCGGUAAUACGGAGGAUCCGAGCGUUAUCCGGAUUUAUUGGGUUUAAAGGGAGCGUAGGUGGAUUGUUAAGUCAGUUGUGAAAGUUUGCGGCUCAACCGUAAAAUUGCAGUUGAAACUGGCAGUCUUGAGUACAGUAGAGGUGGGCGGAAUUCGUGGUGUAGCGGUGAAAUGCUUAGAUAUCACGAAGAACUCCGAUUGCGAAGGCAGUUCACUGGACUGCAACUGACACUGAGGCUCGAAAGUGUGGGUAUCAAACAGGAUUAGAUACCCUUGUAGUC
rnacentral:rRNA from 1 species